ensembl:misc_RNA Metazoa_SRP Metazoan signal recognition particle RNA
GCCGGUGCGGUGGCACAUGCCUGUAGUCCCAGCUACUGGGGUGGCUGAGGUGGAAGGAUGGCUUGAGUCCAGGAGUUCUGGGCUGUAGUGCGCUAUGCCGAUCGGGUGUCCACACUAAGUUUGGCAUCAAUAUGGUGACCUCCUGGGAGCGGGGGACCACCAGGUUGCCUAAGGAGGGGUGAACCGGCCCAGGUCGGAAAAGGUGCAGGUCAGAACUCCCAUGCUGAUCAGUAGUGGGAUAGAGCCUAUGAAUAGCCACUGCACUCCAGCCUGGGCAACAUAGCGAGACCCCAUCUCUA